rnacentral:rRNA from 1 species
UACAGAGGGUGCUAACGUUGUUCGGAAUCACUGGGCACAAAGCGCACGUAGGCGGCUUGGUAAGUGCGGUGUGAAAGCCCCCGGCCUAACCGGGGAACUGCAUCGCAGACUGCCAGGCUCGAGAGCGGGAGGGGAGACUGGAACUCCUGGUGGAGCGGUGAAAUGCGUAGAUAUCUGGAGGAAUACCGGUGGCGAAGGCGGCAUCCUGGACCGGCACUGACGCUGAGUGAGCGAAAGCCAGGGGAGCAAACGGG